rnacentral:lncRNA from 1 species
GUGCAGCCAAGGUUGAGAAGUCUCUCUUAGAUUAGCGCUUCUCAAACAUUAAUAUCCACAGGAUAUUAAUACCAGGGAAGAUCUCCUCAAAAUGCAGGUUCUGUUUCCCUAGAUUGAAGUUUGGCUAGAGGUUUUACAGUUCCAACAAGCCCCCAGGUGAUGCUGAUACUGCUGAUCAGAGGAUAUUUUCAGCAACAAAAUCUUAGAGGGAAGCAAGUGCCAGGUGUUAAGACCCUCCUUCGAAGUGAUGGGUCAUCAUUGACAGAACGGUGCAGGUUCACAGAUGCCACAAUGCACUAGAAUGCCAGCUGCCUAGUGGGACAUUCAUAACAGUAUGAAGAGCACUUUAUUAUAGUUACAGCUUGAUCACCUCGACUCUUCUGAAAACCAUGCAAGAGAGUUUACGAGUCCGCAUUCAACAGACGUAAAUACUGAGACCCGAAGAUGAUUCUCGAUCCAGGACCGUUACUACACUUGUCUACAAAGAAAUGUUAAUAUCAAUGUUUCUAUUAAACCCAGAUGUAGCCUCUAAUUUAUAAUAAGCAUUGUAAACCAGUGCUUCUCAAAUGCUAAUGUGCAUACAAAUCCCUGGGGUCUUGAUAACAAGCAGACUGAUCCAGCAGGUCCGAGUGGAGACACUGGUGGGUGGAGACAAGCUCCAGGUGAUGUGAUGCUGCCUGACCAUGGACCUUGGGCAUCAAGGAACUCAACCUGACCUCGGUGGCUUUGGCUGUGUCAGCUCUGACAUUUAUUGGAUUCAGCGUUCUCUGCUGUGGCGUCGUUUUCAUCAUUCCCCUACGUUACAAAGCACUUAGCAAACACAGUGGCUGAAAAAAUGGACUGAGAGUUCUGUGCUUUGGCACUGUUUAUCUCCAUUAACAAAUGGGAAACAGUGCUUUGGAAAAAUGUGGGUUUUUUCUCAUUGUACUCUAAGUCAUCUUCUAAAAGCUAAAUGUAAGUGAUACAUAGGCUCAACAUUUCAGCCUUCAUAGUUUUAAUUCAGAGGCUUACCUGUGGGACUUGAUUGAGUGGCAACACUGGUAUGCAAAGGAAAAUAUCUACAAAGUUAGCAUUGCUUCAUAUCUUCAGUAUCUUUACUUCUUCAUUUGAACACAGAUGUGUGGAAAACUCACAAUUUUUACUUCGCAAAAGUAACCAAUCCGUGUUUUGUUGGUGGUGGGAUUUUUCUUGUUUUUUUAAUUUGGUCUGGUUUUUUGGUUUUUUAAAGUUAUUCACUCUUACCUUUAAGAUAAAUACUUUUCUUGGCUUGUGUCAGAAAAAAAUGACCAACUUUCCAAAGAUGAAUUCCAACCUAAGAACGCAGGCAGCUCUUGACGUCAAAAUCGAGACGUCAAAGAGGAGAGCAGUGUUUGUUUGGAAAAAGAUCUGCCAGUUGACAGUGUCCUGAAAAUCAGCCUCUUACAGUUCCCAAGAGGACUGACAGAAGAGUUUUCAAAGGUCUCCAAAACUGUCUGCUCUUUGUUUGGGGGAAAAAGAGAAAAGAAUGAGAAACAUCACCCCUUUGACACACAUACACACUCAAACACACCUACACUCACUGUGGUGUGAGCGUGUUCUCGUUCUUUGUUUUUGGAAAGUUACCACAUUUUUCAGCAAUGACAGAGAAUAAUGGUGUCUCCUUACCCUUGCACAAACCAUCACGUUAAUGUUUGUGACAGAUUAUUGCACAAAUGACCCCAGUCCUCCACUCCUCCCUAUGUCUCUGGUGGUGCCAUCCCACACUGACUCUGUGUGGGAGGAAUGAGACUUGUUUUGGCCAAUAGGAGAGCAGCAAACUUGAUGCAAGCAGAAGCUUGUAAAAGUAUG